rnacentral:misc_RNA from 1 species
CAAACCCUCGACCUUGGUCGGUAUUGAGCCGGACUUUGGGUGCAAACCCAAGCUGGUUUUAAAGUGGUAGGCUUUGCUGACUGCCGCUCCAAACCAAAAACAUAGUAAAUCAUACUUGUUGAUGGCGGUGCGGUUCCAGCCUGGAAAAUGACACUUGUG